UCCUCUCUCUCUGCCCCUUCCCCGCUCAUGCUCUCUCUCUUUCAAAAAUACAUAAAUAUUUUUAAAAAGAGUUAUUGCUAACCUUUCUGGAUGAGAUCUUUAGAGAUGUACGGUAUUUUUUUUUUCCCGGUUGGGAAACUAGCCCCAGUACAAGGAGAGACAGAAGAACGCAGCAGCCCCUCCAAACUGAUCUCCUAUGUCAGAGAUCUGACCAUCUUGCAAAUUGCGAGCCUUCCAAAUUCUCACAGUUCGAUCACUAUGGAACAAAUUAAAAAUGAACACGUGAAAAGAGGCAGGAAGAUAAAGAAAUAGCUUUUAGAAUUACUGUGAAAACAUUUUCUGAAGAGGACUUUAAUAUAUAAUGAAACUGGGGGUUUGGAUCUGUUUUGUUCACAGGUCUUCCCAAGAGUCUGGAACAGUGCCCAACUUUGGAAAUUCAUCAUGAAUGAAAAAAUAAGCAAAUGAAUCCAGCCUUCCUAAGAGGGAGGAACCAGAUAGUAUUACUAUGUACUUAUACAGCUGGGCCUUGAACAACACAGAUUUGAACUAUGAGGGUCCACUUACAUGUGGAUUUUUUAAUAAACAUAGCACAGUA